rnacentral:rRNA from 1 species
UACGGAGGGUGCAAGCGUUAUCCGGAUUCACUGGGUUUAAAGGGUGCGUAGGUGGGUUGGUAAGUCAGUGGUGAAAUCUCCGAGCUUAACUUGGAAACUGCCAUUGAUACUAUCAGUCUUGAAUAUUGUGGAGGUCAGCGGAAUAUGUCAUGUAGCGGUGGAAUGCGCAGAUAUCAGGAGGAACACCAAUAGCGAAGGCAGCUCGCUGGGACGGUAUUGACGCUAAGGCGCGAAAGCGUGGGGAGCAAACAGG